rnacentral:rRNA from 1 species
UACGUAGGGUGCAAGCGUUAAUCGGAAUUACUGGGCGUAAAGCGUGCGCAGGCGGUUGUGCAAGACAGACGUGAAAUCCCCGGGCUCAACCUGGGAAUUGCGUUGGAGACUGCAAGGCUAGAAUCUGGCAGAGGGGGGUAGAAUUCCACGUGUAGCAGUGAAAUGCGUAGAGAUGUGGAGGAACACCGAUGGCGAAGGCAGCCCCCUGGGUCAAGAUUGACGCUCAUGCACGAAAGCGUGGGGAGCAAACAGG